GGGUUUAAAGGGUCCGUAGGCGGGCGUCUAAGUCAGUGGUGAAAUCCCGCGGCUCAACCGUGGAAUUGCCAUUGAUACUGGUCGCCUUGAAUGGUCGUGAAGUGGCUAGAAUAUGUGGUGUAGCGGUGAAAUGCUUAGAUAUCACAUAGAAUACCGAUUGCGAAGGCAGGUCGCUAACGACGCAUUGACGCUGAUGGACGAAAGCGUGGGGAGCGAACAGGAUUAGAUACCCUGGUAGUCCACGCCGUAAACGAUGGAUAC
rnacentral:rRNA from 1 species